GGCGUGCCUAUUACACACAAGUCGAGAGGAUUUUGGGAAACGUAGUUUCCCUUUAAUCAGCGGCGGACGGGUGAGUAACACGUGGGUAACCUGCCUGUAAGACUGGGAUAACUCCGGGAAACCGGGGCUAAUACCGGAUAACUCAGUUCCUCGCAUGAGGAACUGUUGAAAGGUGGCUUUCAGCUACCACUUACAGAUGGACCCGCGGCGCAUUAGCUAGUUGGUGAGGUAACGGCUCACCAAGGCAACGAUGCGUAGCCGACCUGAGAGGGUGAUCGGCCACACUGGGACUGAGACACGGCCCAGACUCCUACGGGAGGCAGCAGUAGGGAAUCUUCCGCAAUGGACGAAAGUCUGACGGAGCAACGCCGCGUGAGUGAAGAAGGUUUUCGGAUCGUAAAACUCUGUUGUUAGGGAAGAACAAGUGCCGUUCGAAUAGGGCGGCACCUUGACGGUACCUAACCAGAAAGCCCG
rnacentral:rRNA from 1 species